rnacentral:lncRNA from 1 species
UUGGCGUUUGCUUUAUACUUUUAUAUGUGAUGACCCAGUCUUGUGAUCAUUUAAUAAAUUAAAUGAAAAAUUAUAUGCUAGUUCUUUGGAUUGGAUUUUUCUACUUUUGCAUGAAACGAAUUGCAUUAAACAGUGAAGGCUUCUGUUGUUCUGUGAUCUGAGUGAGAUUGCUGAAGUUUCAUUAAUUUCUGCUGGCAGAGUUGUCUUCCCUUGAAAGCUCGUCGACACUUUGAGCUGUAUCCUAUUUUGCAAUUUCUUUAAAUAUACAAUAAUUUACCUCUCUAUAAAAAGAAUAUAUGCAAUAAUUUUUCCAAUGGAAUAAUCAUAGAUAAUGUGCUUAAUAUUUUUAAUUAUGUCACAAUUUAGGGUUCUUUAGUGCAGUUUUUGAUCGUUUUGAGAUAAUAAGCUAUGUUGGAGCAUGGCUAGUCUUGUUUAUUUAUUUUAUGUCUUCCUUUUUUCGAAUUUAUUAUAAUAUAAUGAUCUAUGCUUUCUUAAAUAGGUUGAACAUCAUGGUUAACACCAGAAAGAAGGCUGAAUUCAGAUGAUAUUGCAAUGCAUGUGGAAGACACAAGUUUAGAACAGCAAACCACUGCAACAUCGAUAGGAGAGUCUCAGCAAGUCAAAAAAGGAAGACUGGCCAUACCGAAAUGGAAAACUUGAACGAAAUUAUUGCUCUAAUUGAAGUAAAGUUUAGUGAGGUGGGACAAUCAUUAUCUGUAAAGGAUCCAAUGUGUACUGUUAGGAUCCAUUUGAU